rfam:Peptoniphilus indolicus ATCC 29427 genomic scaffold SCAFFOLD1, whole genome shotgun sequence.
GGAGAAGUACUCAAGUGGCUGAAGAGGCUCCCCUGCUAAGGGAGUAGGGUUCGAAAGGGCCGCGAGGGUUCAAAUCCCUCCUUCUCCG